AUACGGGGGGGGCAAGCGUUGUUCGGAAUUAUUGGGCGUAAAGGGCGUGUAGGCGGCCCUGCAAGUCUUUCGUGAAAUCCCACAGCUCAACUGUGGAACUGCGAGGGAAACUGCAGGACUUGAGUCCGGCAGAGGAGAGUGGAAUUCCCAGUGUAGCGGUGAAAUGCGUAGAUAUUGGGAGGAACACCGGUGGCGAAGGCGGCUCUCUGGACCGGUACUGACGCUGAAGCGCGAAAGCUAGGGGAGCAAACGGGAUUAGAAACCCCAGUAGUCC
rnacentral:rRNA from 1 species